AGAAUCAACGCUGGCGGCGUGCCUCAGACAUGCAAGUCGAACGCGAAAGUCCCCUUCGGGGGGCAAGUAGAGUGGCGCACGGGUGAGUAACACGUAGGUAAUCUACCUUUGGAUGGGGAAUAACAAUCGGAAACGGUUGCUAAUACCGCAUAAUGCAGCGGCACCUAAUGGUGACAGUUGUUAAAGCGGGGGAUCGAAAGACCUCGCGUCUGAAGAGGAGCCUGCGGCGGAUUAGCUAGUUGGUAAGGUAAUGGCUUACCAAGGCAACGAUCC
rnacentral:rRNA from 1 species